rnacentral:rRNA from 1 species
CGGGUGGUAAUGCCGGAUGCUCCAUCACACCGCAUGGUGUGUUGGGAAAGCCUUUGCGGCAUGGGAUGGGGUCGCGUCCUAUCAGCUUGAUGGCGGGGUAACGGCCCACCAUGGCUUCGACGGGUAGCCGGCCUGAGAGGGCGACCGGCCACAUUGGGACUGAGAUACGGCCCAGACUCCUACGGGAGGCAGCAGUGGGGAAUAUUGCACAAUGGGCGCAAGCCUGAUGCAGCGACGCCGCGUGAGGGAUGGAGGCCUUCGGGUUGUAAACCUCUUUUGUUAGGGAGCAAGGCACUUUGUGUUGAGUGUACCUUUCGAAUAAGCACCGGCUAACUACGUGCCAGCAGCCGCGGUAAUACGUAGGGUGCAAGCGUUAUCCGGAAUUAUUGGGCGUAAAGGGCUCGUAGGCGGUUCGUCGCGUCCGGUGUGAAAGUCCAUCGCUUAACGGUGGAUCCGCGCCGGGUACGGGCGGGCUUGAGUGCGGUAGGGGAGACUGGAAUUCCCGGUGUAACGGUGGAAUGUGUAGAUAU